rnacentral:tRNA from 1 species
UAUAUUUUGGUGUAAGAUGCACAAUAGUUUUUGAUACUUUAAGAUAUAGUUUAAUUCUAUAAAAUAUAA